rnacentral:rRNA from 2 species
GACGAACGCUGGCGGCGUGCCUAAUACAUGCAAGUCGAGCGAAUCUUUAAGGGGCUUGCCCCUUAAGAUUAGCGGCGGACGGGUGAGUAACACGUGGGCAACCUGCCUGUAAGACCGGGAUAACUUCGGGAAACCGGAGCUAAUACCGGAUCAUCCUUUCCUUCGCAUGAAGGAAAGCUGAAAGACGGCGUAAGCUGUCACUUACAGAUGGGCCCGCGGCGCAUUAGCUAGUUGGUGAGGUAACGGCUCACCAAGGCGACGAUGCGUAGCCGACCUGAGAGGGUGAUCGGCCACACUGGGACUGAGACACGGCCCAGACUCCUACGGGAGGCAGCAGUAGGGAAUCUUCCACAAUGGACGAAAGUCUGAUGGAGCAACGCCGCGUGAGCGAUGAAGGCCUUCGGGUCGUAAAGCUCUGUUGUUAGGGAAGAACAAGUACCGGAGUAACUGCCGGUACCUUGACGGUACCUAACCAGAAAG